rnacentral:rRNA from 1 species
CACAGGGGAGCUUGCUCCCUGGGUGGCGAGUGGCGGACGGGUGAGGAAUACAUGGGAAUCUACCCUGUCGUGGGGGAUAACGUAGGGAAACUUACGCUAAUACCGCAUACGACCGAGAGGUGAAAGCGGCGGACCGCAAGGCGUCGCGCGACUGGAUGAGCCCAUGUCGGAUUAGCUUGUUGGCGGGGUAACGGCCCACCAAGGCGACGAUCCGUAGCUGGUCUGAGAGGAUGAUCAGCCACACUGGAACUGAGACACGGUCCAGACUCCUACGGGAGGCAGCAGUGGGGAAUAUUGGACAAUGGGCGCAAGCCUGAUCCAGCCAUGCCGCGUGUGUGAAGAAGGCCUUCGGG